GAUGAACGCUAGCUACAGGCUUAACACAUGCAAGUCGAGGGGCAGCAUGAACAUAGCUUGCUAUGUUUGAUGGCGACCGGCGCACGGGUGCGUAACACGUAUCCAAUCUGCCCGUUACUCGGGGAUAGCCUUCUGAAAGGAAGAUUAAUACCCGAUGGCAUUCAUUAGCGGCAUCGCUUUUGGAUUAAAGAUUUAUCGGUAACGGAUGAGGAUGCGUACGAUUAGCUGGUUGGCGGGGUAACGGCCCACCAAGGCGACGAUCAGUAGCCGGUCUGAGAGGAUGAACGGCCACAUUGGGACUGAGAUACGGCCCAGACUCCUACGGGAGGCAGCAGUGGGGAAUAUUGGGCAAUGGGGGAAACCCUGACCCAGCAACGCCGCGUGAAGGAAGAAGGCCU
rnacentral:rRNA from 1 species